GUGACGUUCGCGUAGCGGUCUAUCGCGUCGGAUUCAAGUUUUGUCGAAUCCCGAUGGACUCUAGUCCUCGUGAGUUCGAAUCUCACACGCCACA
rnacentral:tRNA from 1 species